rnacentral:rRNA from 1 species
UACAGAGGGUGCGAGCGUUAAUCGGAAUUACUGGGCGUAAAGCGUGCGUAGACGGCUAUCUAAGUCGGGUGAAAUCCCCGGGCUCAACCCGGGAACUGCGUCCGAUACUGGCAGGCUUGAAUCCGGGAGAGGGAUGCGGAAUUCCAGGUGUAGCGGUGAAAUGCGUAGAUAUCUGGAGGAACACCGGUGGCGAAGGCGGCAUCCUGGACCGGCAUUGACGCUGAGGCGCGAAAGCCAGGGGAGCAAACGGG